AGCAACGGUAAGUGUUUUUUUUUUAUUAUUAUUUGAGAAAUGUUGUAUAGAUACAGCUAACUACAAAAAAUUGAUAAAAAAAGAAAGAUAAAUACAAAAAUAGCUAGCCAAUUAUAAAGCUGUAUAGGAUAAGAAAGUACCAAACUAUUUCGAUAUCUGAUAAGAUCAUCUUCUAACAACCAGUAAUCAAAGAGCUUUAUAUACCACACAAUUCUAACAACCAGUAAUCAAAGAGCUUUAUAUACCACACAAUUCUAACAACCAGUAAUCAAAGAGCUUUAUAUACCACACAAUUCUAACAACCAGUAAUCAAAGA
rnacentral:misc_RNA from 1 species